rnacentral:rRNA from 1 species
UACAGGGGGUGCAAACGUUGCUCGGAAUCAUUGGGCGUAAAGCGCACGUAGGCGGUUCGUUAUGUCGGAUGUGAAAGCCCUUGGCUUAACCGAGGAAGUGCAUCCGAAACUGGCGAGCUAGAGUACUAAAGAGGAUCGCGGAAUUCCCGGUGUAGAGGUGAAAUUCGUAGAUAUCGGGAGGAACACCGGUGGCGAAGGCGGCGAUCUGGGUAGAUACUGACGCUGAGGUGCGAAAGCGUGGGAGGCAACA